UUGAUUGGUAUUCUGGCCGUCUCAUUCAGUAUUGAGUUCCAUGCUUUUCCCACUAUUUCCCAAAAAUUCAAUUGACCGAUUCCCGAAGCAACCUCAUCGUAACUGAAUCAAUCCUCCGAUUCCCUCAUCAGCAUCAUCAUUAUCUCUCUCACAGAACGCACCGGAUGGCCACCGCCUUUCGCCUGAGCCGCCGCCUUGGUGCCGCGGCAAUUGCUACCGCAGCCGGAGGGGCAGUCCUCCUCUACCAGCCCACGUUAGCCGCCAACGACCGCGGUGGUGGCCCCCAGCUCGCGGCUAUUAGGCAGAAGAUCAGCGACCCAAACGCCGUCAUUCCGUCCAGAACGGUCCAGGAGUCGGCUCUAAUCGGGACCAGCUCGGCUAAUCCACUCGACGUCCUCGUGAUCGGCGGCGGGGCCACAGGAUGCGGCGUCGCCCUCGACGCGGUCACCAGGGGCCUCCGAGUCGGGCUUAUCGAGCGAGAGGAUUUCUCUUCUGGCACAUCCUCGAGGUCCACAAAGCUCAUUCAUGGAGGAGUUCGUUACUUGGAGAAAGCUGUCUUUAAUCUUGACUAUGGGCAAUUGAAGCUGGUAUUUCAUGCGCUUGAGGAACGUAAACAGCUUAUUGAGAAUGCACCACACCUAUGCCAUGCAUUACCAUGCAUGACACCAUGUUUUGACUGGUUUGAGGUAGUAUACUACUGGAUGGGCUUGAAAAUGUACGAUUUGGUCGCAGGACCACGCCUAUUGCAUUUGUCCAGAUAUUAUUCUGCACAAGAGUCCAGUGAGCUCUUCCCCACACUUGCCAGGAAGGGUAAAGAUAGAAAUCUAAAGGGAACGGUGGUUUAUUAUGAUGGCCAGAUGAAUGACUCACGACUUAAUCUUGGAUUGGCAUGCACUGCGGCAUUAGCUGGUGCAGCGGUGCUUAACCAUGCAGAGGUAGUAUCAUUUUUGAAAGAUGAAGUUGGCGAGCGCAUAAUUGGUGCACGGAUUCGAGACAAUUUAUCAGGCAAAGAGUUCAACUCGUAUGCAAAAGUAAUUGUCAAUGCGGCUGGGCCAUUUUGUGAUUCUGUGAGGAAAAUGGCCAAUAAAGAUGCACGAUCUAUGAUCAGUCCUAGCAGUGGUGUGCAUAUUGUUCUUCCUGAUUACUAUUCACCUGAAGGAAUGGGUUUGAUUGUUCCUAAAACUAAGGAUGGACGUGUUGUCUUCAUGCUGCCAUGGUUGGGACGAACAGUUGCUGGAACUACAGAUUCCAACACUCCCAUCACUUUGCUUCCAGAACCACAUGAAGAUGAAAUUCAAUUUAUAUUGGAUGCCAUCAGUGAUUAUCUUAAUGUUAAGGUAAGGCGAAUGGAUGUUCUUUCAGCAUGGAGUGGUAUACGCCCAUUGGCAAUGGACCCAUCCGCCAAAAACACAGAGAGUAUCUCCAGGGAUCACGUUGUCUGCGAAGAUUAUCCUGGCUUGGUCACAAUUACAGGUGGGAAGUGGACUACGUACCGUAGCAUGGCAGAAGAUGCAGUUAAUGCAGCCAUAAAGUCUGGAAAGCUGAGCCCAACCAGUAAUUGUUUAACUCACAACCUGCAGCUUGUUGGUGGAGAUGGAUGGGAUCCUGCAUCAUUUACAGUUCUUGCACAACAGUAUGUACGCAUGAAGAAGACUCACGGUGGAAAAGUCGUUCCCGGUGUAAUGGACACUGCAGCAGCAAAGCAUUUGUCUCAUGCAUAUGGAACUUUGGCUGAACAAGUGGCUGCCAUAGCUCAGAAUGAAAACCUGGGGAAGAGGCUUGCCCAUGGAUAUCCUUUUCUCGAGGCUGAGGUUGCGUACUGUGCUCGGAAUGAAUACUGUGAAUCUGCUGUUGAUUUCAUUGCGAGGAGAUCCCGGCUUGCUUUCCUUGACACCGAUGCAGCAGGUCGGGCAUUGCCGCGCAUAAUUGAGAUAUUGGCUACUGAGCACAAGUGGGACAAGUCAAGGCGGAAGGGAGAGUUUCAGAAGGCUACAGAAUUUUUGUCUACUUUCAAGUCAGCGAAGAAUGCUCAAUUCCAUGAUGGAAAACACAUAUAGAUCGAUAAUGAGCUGAGGAGUCCGUUUCUUUCAUUUCAAAUUGUUGACCACAGAUUUUCCAAUCAUAUUGUUGUGCGAGGAAGUUUGAAUGGCUCGCUGUUUUUUCCCCUCCUCUUUUACAUUGUGAGGCUGAGUAAAAGUUUAUACAACAGAUGGACCUUGCAAGAGAUUGUCAAUGGGGACCGAACUGUCUUCCUAAGAAGCGUCCCUCCAAAGGUGUAUUUUGCCCUAAACAAACCGAAAGGGUUUUGUUACUGUUCGUUUUGAAUCGUGGAGGUCAUUUUACAGCUUGAGCUCUUUAUGUGAUCUGCAUAUGUGAGAUUAAUGUUGGAUGUACAAUGUAUCUAUCUCUAACGCAUGACUAGAUAAUAAAUUUGCGGUCACGUUUGUCCAUACAUUGGAUCUGGAAAAUCUGAAAAUUAUUUCAAAUGAUUUAUAAUCGGCAUUGGAA